rnacentral:rRNA from 1 species
AGAGUUCGGGCCGCACGCGCGCUACACUGACGGAGCCAGCGAGUUUUAACCUUGGCCGAGAGGUCUGGGUAAUCUUGUGAAACUCCGUCGUGCUGGGGAUAGAGCAUUGUAAUUAUUGCUCUUCAACGAGGAAUUCCUAGUAAGCGCAAGUCAUCAGCUUGCGUUGAUUACGUCCCUGCCCUUUGUACACACCGCCCGUCGCUACUACCGAUUGAAUGGCUUAGUGAGGCUUCCGGAUUGGUUUAAAGAAGAGGGCAACCUCAGCUUGGAACUGAAAAGCUAGUCAAACUUGGUCAUUUAGAGGAAGUAAAAGUCGUAACAAGGUUUCCGUAGGUGAACCUGCGGAAGGAUCAUUACAGUAUUCUUUUGCCAGCGCUUAACUGCGCGGCGAAAAACCUUACACACAGUGAUUUUCUUUUCUUUGAAAACAUUGCUUUGGUCUGGCGCAAGUUGGGCCAAAGAUUUAUUAAACUUCAAUAUUUUUAUUGAAUUGUUAUUUUAACCAUAGUCAAUUUGUUGAUUAAAUUCAAAAAUCUUCAAAACUUUCAACAACGGAUCUCUUGGUUCUCGCAUCGAUGAAGAACGCAGCGAAUUGCGAUACGUAAUAUGAAUUGCAGAUUUUCGUGAAUCAUCGAAUCUUUGAACGCACAUUGCGCCCUUUGGUAUUCCAAAAGGCAUGCCUGUUUGAGCGUCAUUUCUCUCUCAAAUCUUUGGAUUUGGUAUUGAGUGAUACUCUUAGUCAAACUAAGCGUUUGCUUGAAAAGUAUUGGCCAAAAGUGGUACUGAAAAAGUGCUAAACUGGUUUCAAGGUAUUAGGGUUUAUCCCAACCCCGUUGAAA